UUGAAAUACAGUGAGCAGAAGCGAAAUAAACCCCAAAAGCAUCAAUUCUUCUUUAACUUUCUGAAGAGCUUCAUUGAGCGGCUUCUGGUUCUUCUUCUUGAGGUAUUUGCCGAGGAAGUGAAGGAGACGCUCUAAAGCGAGCGAAAUGGCGACGAUGACGGUACAGACGGCGGCUACAACCCACGUCGGAGUGAAUUCCAGCGUCGUUCCUUCACCUCCGCCGCCCAUUUCGGCUCCGUGUUCUUCUCUAAUUUCACUUCAAACGGCUCGGCGGAUUAUCAAAGUGAAAGAAAAAG
rnacentral:misc_RNA from 1 species